UACAGAGGUCCCAAGCGUUGUUCGGAUUCAUUGGGCGUAAAGGGUGCGUAGGUGGUCUGUUAUGUCGGAUGUGAAAGCCCUCGGCUCAACUGAGGAAGUGCAUCCGAAACUGGCAGGCUUGAGUAUGUAAGAGGGUCGCGGAAUUCCCGGCGUAGAGGUGAAAUUCGUAGAUAUCGGGAGGAACACCGGUGGCGAAGGCGGCGACCUGGGACAAUACUGACACUGAGGUGCGAAAGCGUGGGGAGCAAACAGG
rnacentral:rRNA from 1 species